AGUACGUGAAACUGCUUAGAGGUUAAGCCCGAUGAACCUGAAUAUCCAUUAUGGAAAAUUCAAUAUUAAGAAUAUAAUAUAAAUAAUAUUAUAAAAAUAGUAUGCAAUUUUUCCAUAUAAGGACAUUGUAAUCUGUUAAUGUUAUAAAUAUUUAUCAAAAGAUCUAAUACUUAAGUUUAUUUAAAUUGUUUAUUUUCGGAUAUUCAACAUAAAAUAAAUGUGUUAGAUUGGAUAAAUCAUUGACAGAUCGAAUUAUAUAUUGUGCAUAAAUUCUUCGGAAUUUUUCAGUAGUAAAUAGAUCUAUUGAUUUGUUUAUUGAUUGCAUGCAUAAUUAUGAUUGACAAUGCGAUAGAUUCAGGAUACCUUCGGGACCCGUCUUGAAACACGGACCAAGGAGUCUAACAUAUGUGCAAGUCAUUGGGUAUUUUUAAUAAAACCCAAUGGCAUAAUUAACUUAACUGUUAUUUAUAAUGAGAUUAAUUUAUAUUUUGUUAUGAUUUAUUUAUUCAAUCUCGGGGCGUUCUAUACAGUUAUGCAUAAUAAUAUUUAUAUUAUUUAUGCCUCUAACUAGAGC
rnacentral:rRNA from 1 species